rnacentral:rRNA from 1 species
AUUGAACGCUGGCGGCAUGCUUUACACAUGCAAGUCGAACGGUAACAGGUUAAGCUGACGAGUGGCGAACGGGUGAGUAAUGCAUCGGAACGUGCCCGAUCGUGGGGGAUAACGCAGCGAAAGCUGCGCUAAUACCGCAUACGAUCUGAGGAUGAAAGCGGGGGACCGUAAGGCCUCGCGCGAUCGGAGCGGCCGAUGUCAGAUUAGGUAGUUGGUGGGGUAAAGGCCCACCAAGCCGACGAUCUGUAGCUGGUCUGAGAGGACGACCAGCCACACUGGGACUGAGACACGGCCCAGACUCCUGCGGGAGGCAGCAGUUGGGAAUUUUGGACAAUGGGCGAAAGCCUGAUCCAGCAAUGCCGCGUGCAGGAAGAAGUCCUUCGGGUUGUAAACUGCUUUUGUACGGAGCGAAAAGGUCCUUUCUAAUACAAGGGGCUCAUGACGGUACCGUAAGAAUAAGCACCGGCCAACUACGUGCCAGCCGCCGCAGUAA